rnacentral:lncRNA from 1 species
GGUCUGAUAAGAAUCCCCUAUACUGUGUCGAACCCUUGGGGGUCUGUUCAUCACGAUGGGGCCAUUAGGGAUUGGAGGACCAAGGCAAGGCUUUGUUCUGGGGGAGGUCCUGUCUUAGAAAGUGUGAGGAUAUGAAACACAGGCUGCAUAUGGCGAGGGUGGGCAGCCGUAUGCAUUGUGGAAGGAGGCACCAGUGCUAGGAGAAAAGAAAGCCUCUCUAGUAGCAACGGGGCUAGCUACUCUGGCAUGGACACAGUUUC